UACGUAGGGUGCGAGCGUUGUCCGGAAUUAUUGGGCGUAAAGAGCUCGUAGGCGGUUUGUCGCGUCGGGAGUGAAAACACGGGGCUUAACCCCGUGCCUGCUUCCGAUACGGGCAUCACUGGAGUUCGGCAGGGGAGACUGGAAUUCCUGGUGUAGCGGUGAAAUGCGCAGAUAUCAGGAGGAACACCGGUGGCGAAGGCGGGUCUCUGGGCCGAUACUGACGCUGAGGAGCGAAAGCGUGGGGGAGCAAACAGG
rnacentral:rRNA from 1 species